CGGGUUGUUGCUGGCCCCCAAACCGGGCACGUGCACGCCCUGUUUACGCAUCCACUCACACCUGUGCACCCUCUGUAGUUCUGUGGACCGGGAGACGUCGUCUUCCUUCCGUGGCUCUACGUCUUUACACACAUGCCGUAGCGAAGUCUCAUGGAAUGUUUUUCGCGUUUAACGCAAUACAAUACAACUUUCAGCAACGGAUCUCUUGGCUCUCGCAUCGAUGAAGAACGCAGCGAAAUGCGAUAAGUAAUGUGAAUUGCAGAAUUCAGUGAAUCAUCGAAUCUUUGAACGCACCUUGCGCCCCUUGGUUAUUCCUCGGGGCAUGCCUGUUUGAGUAUCAUGAACACCUCAACUCUCGUGGUCUUCCAUGAUGAGCUUGGACUUUGGGGGUUUGCUGGCCCUGUGGCCGGCUCCUCUCAAACGAAUCAGCUUGCCAGUGUUUGGCGGCGUCACGGGUGUGAUAACCAUCUACGCUUGCGAUCGCCUGCCAGAUAACCCUCAGCGAUGAAGGUUCAUUGGGGCUCACAAAAGUCUCUCCACGGCGAGGACGAAUUUUGAAUGUUCGAUCUCAAAUCAGGUAGGACUACCCGCUGAACUUAAGCAUAUCAAUAAGCGGAGGAAAAGAAACUAACAAGGAUUCCCCUAGUAACUGCGAGUGAAGCGGGAAGAGCUCAAAUUUAAAAUCUGGCGUGCCUCCGGUCGUCCGAAUUGUAGUCUGGAGAAGCGUUUUCCGUGCUGGACCGUG
rnacentral:rRNA from 1 species